GUUCGGGAGGCAGUUCGUCGCCCGGAUCUGACUUUUGUACGCCGCCGCAGAGUGUCUGGUUAAAGUUAACGGGUCCCUGACGGCGCCCCUUCGCUUCGGGAGAAGA